rnacentral:rRNA from 1 species
GACGAACGCUGGCGGCGUGCUUAACACAUGCAAGUCGAACGGAAAGGCCCUGCUUGCAGGGUACUCGAGUGGCGAACGGGUGAGUAACACGUGGGUGAUCUGCCCUGCACUUCGGGAUAAGCCUGGGAAACUGGGUCUAAUACCGGAUAGGAGCCAUUUUUAGUGUGAUGGUUGGAAAGUUUUUUCGGUGUAGGAUGAGCUCGCGGCCUAUCAGCUUGUUGGUGGGGUAAUGGCCUACCAAGGCGGCGACGGGUAGCCGGCCUGAGAGGGUGGACGGCCACAUUGGGACUGAGAUACGGCCCAGACUCCUACGGGAGGCAGAAGGGGGGAAUAUUGCACAAUGGGCGCAAGCCUGAUGCAGCGACGCCGCGUGGGGGAUGACGGCCUUCGGGUUGUAAACUCCUUUCGCUAGGGACGAAGCUUUUUGUGACGGUACCUAGAUAAGAAGCACCGGCUAACUACGUG